UUAUGAGAAAAAAAGAAAUUAGGAAGUUUUUUUAGAGUAGAGGUUCUGAAGAGUUUUCGGGGAAACAAAUUCGGAGCAAGAGAAGUCUGGAAUAGAGAUGAAGGAAUGUCGUCUGAUCCAAUACCAAUGAAGAAAGAGAUCGAAGAAUAAGUUAGAAGAAUUUCGAAUCGUAUUUAUGAGUUUAUAGUUGAAACCUGAGUUUAAAACAUGUAUAGACAUAUAUCAACUAGGAAUUUUUAAGUGUGAGAUUACGAGAUGUUACCGUAAAUGUAAUGUUACAAUAUAUAAAUUAUGAAUUAUCC
rnacentral:sRNA from 1 species